AGAGUUUGAUCCUGGCUCAGGAUGAACGCUGGCGGCGUGCUUAACACAUGCAAGUCGAACGGAGCGCCGGACACGGACUAUUUCGGUAGGAAGCGUGCGGAGGCUUAGUGGCGGACGGGUGAGUAACGCGUGGAUAACCUGCCGCAUACCAGGGGAUAACAGCUGGAAACAGCUGCUAAUACCGCAUAUGCCCGCAGUGCUGCAUGGCACAGCGGGGAAAACUCCGGUGGUAUGCGAUGGGUCCGCGUCUGAUUAGGCAGUUGGCGGGGUAACGGCCCACCAAACCGACGAUCAGUAGCCGGCCUGAGAGGGCGGACGGCCACACUGGGACUGAGACACGGCCCAGACUCCUGCGGGAGGCAGCAGUGGGGAAUAUUGCACAAUGGGGGAAACCCUGAUGCAGCGACGCCGCGUGAAGGAAGAAGUAUCUCGGUAUGUAAACUUCUAUCAGCAGGGAAGAAAACAGACGGUACCUGACUAAGAAGCCCCGGCUAACUACGUGCCAGCAGCCGCGGUAAUACGUAGGAUGCGAGCGUUAUCCGGAUUUAUUGGGUUUAAAGGGUGCGCAGGCGGACCGGAAAGUCAGCGGUAAAAUCGAGGAGCUCAACUCCUUCCAGCCGUUGAAACUGUCGGUCUAGAGUGGGCGAGAAGUAUGCGGAAUGCGUGGUGUAGCGGUGAAAUGCAUAGAUAUCACACAGAACUCCGAUUGCGAAGGCAGCAUACCGGCGCCCAACUGACGCUCAGGCACGAAAGCGUGGGUAUCGAACAGGAUUAGAUACCCUGGUAGUCCACGCAGUAAACGAUGAAUACUAACUGUCUGGCCCGAUUGAGGGUUGGGUGGUACAGAGAAAGCGUUAAGUAUUCCACCUGGGGAGUACGCCGGCAACGGUGAAAACUCAAAGGAAUUGACGGGGGCCCGCACAAGCGGAGGAACAUGUGGUUUAAUUCGAUGAUACGCGAGGAACCUUACCCGGGCUCAAACGACACAGGAAUACUUUUGAAAGGAGGUAGCUCUACGGAGCCUGUGUCGAGGUGCUGCAUGGUUGUCGUCAGCUCGUGCCGUGAGGUGUCGGCUUAAGUGCCAUAACGAGCGCAACCCCCAUCGCCAGUUACCAUCAAGUAAAGUUGGGGACUCUGGCGAGACUGCCGGCGCAAGCUGUGAGGAAGGCGGGGAUGACGUCAAAUCAGCACGGCCCUUACGUCCGGGGCGACACACGUGUUACAAUGGCAGGUACAGAGAGAAGCGACAUGGCGACAUGAAGCGGAACUGUCAAAACCUGUCUCAGUUCGGAUUGGAGUCUGCAACCCGACUCCAUGAAGCUGGAUUCGCUAGUAAUCGCGCAUCAGCCACGGCGCGGUGAAUACGUUCCCGGGCCUUGUACACACCGCCCGUCA
rnacentral:rRNA from 1 species